rnacentral:lncRNA from 1 species
GCGAUUGCGAACGAGGACCGGUUCCGACGCUUGCUUGUAUCUGGGUGGACAUGAGGGCCUGGCAGGGUAUAUAUGGUCGGGAGGAGCAGUCUCAGUUUUAGUCACCUACUGAAUCUGUUAUCAUCUCCUCAACGAUGCGGUUCUUGAUGCUGUUGUGCGUGUGCCUGCCGGUGCUUGCAGCGAGCAUGCCUGCGGCGGAGCCGGGAGUCUUCACAACUGCCUUGGGCUUCUUCCUCGGGAAAGUAUUGCUAACGACCGUAGCGGGGAUCGGAGUCGAAGCUUGCAUGACUGGAAAAUCCGGAGGACAAGGUAGAGUACC